rnacentral:rRNA from 1 species
UGAAGAACGCAGCGAAAUGCGAUACCUAGUGUGAAUUGCAGAAUUCCGCGAAUCAUCGAGUUUUUGAACGCAAGUUGCGCCCGAGGCUCGYACCGAGGGCAUGUCUGUCUGAGCGUCCA